UACAGAGGGUGCAAGCGUUAAUCGGAAUUACUGGGCGUAAAGCGCGCGUAGGUGGUUCGUUAAGUUGGAUGUGAAAUCCCCGGGCUCAACCUGGGAACUGCAUUCAAAACUGACGAGCUAGAGUAUGGUAGAGGGUGGUGGAAUUUCCUGUGUAGCGGUGAAAUGCGUAGAUAUAGGAAGGUACACCAGUGGCGAAGGCGACCACCUGGACUGAUACUGACACUGAGGUGCGAAAGCGUGGGGAGCAAGCAGG
rnacentral:rRNA from 1 species